rnacentral:rRNA from 1 species
GAUGAACGCUGGCGGCGUGCCUAAUAUAUGCAAGUCGAGCGGUAACACUUCGGGUGACGAGCGGCGGACGGCUGAGUAACACGUAGGAACGUACCCCAAACUGAGGGAUAAGCACCGGAAACGGUGUCUAAUACCGCAUGUGGUCUUCGGAUUAAAGCUUCGGCGGUUUGGGAACGGCCUGCGCAUGAUUAGCUUGUUGGUGAGGUAAUAGCUCACCAAGGCGACGAUCAUUAGCUGGUCUAAGAGGAUGAUCAGCCAGACUGGGACUGAGAACGGCCCAGACUCCUACGGGAGGCAGCAGUAGGGAAUCUUCCACAAUGGGCGAAAGCCUGAUGGAGCAACGCCGCGUGCAGGAUGAAGGCCUUCGGGUCGUAAACUGCUUUUAUUGGUGACGAUUAUGACGGUAGCCAAUGAAUAAGGAUCGGCUAACUCCGUGCCAGCAGCCGCCGCCG